rnacentral:rRNA from 1 species
GCGGAGGAAAAGAAACCAACUGGGAUUGCCUCAGUAACGGCGAGUGAAGCGGCAACAGCUCAAAUUUGAAAUCUGGCGCCUUGGGCGUCCGAGUUGUAAUUUGUAGAGGGAGUCUCGGGUUAAGGGUCGGUCCAAGUGCCUUGGAACAGGAUACCGAAGAGGGUGAGAGUCCCGUAUCCGGCCGACGCCAGCGCCCGUGUGAGGCCCCUUCGACGAGUCGAGUUGUUUGGGAAUGCAGCUCUAAAUGGGUGGUAAAUUCCAUCUAAAGCUAAAUACUGGCCAGAGACCGAUAGCGCACAAGUAGAGUGAUCGAAAGAUGAAAAGCACUUUGAAAAGAGAGUCAAACAGUACGUGAAAUUGUUGAAAGGGAAGCGUAUGUGGGCAGACUUGGACGCUGGAUUCAGGCCGUCUUCUGGCGGGUGCAUUUUCCAGCGGACAGGCCAGCAUCGGUUCUGAGGGCCGGACAAAGACGAAGGGAAUGUGGCUCCUCUCUGGGGAGUGUUAUAGCCCGGCGUGCAAUGCGGCCACUUGGGACCGAGGACCGCGCAUUUGCAAGG